GAAAAACUGCAGCAUCAUCAUUAAUGAUCUGAAAGAGUCUGAUUCUGGAUCAUGUCAGCUCAGAGUUACUGGUGUACGGAAUGGACAACAAGAUGCAUUCACAUUCAUUCCAAGAGUAACUGUCUCUGUUAAAGGAAAUUGUUGACCUGAUUCCCACACUGACAGAGGGACAGCAGGCCACACUGACCUGCACUGCUCCUGGUCUCGGCUCUGGAUCUGUUCCUGAAAUCACCUGGACAUGGAGAGGAGCAGGAGGGACUGAAUCUUACAUUACAGGAAACAGCACUGCUUUCAAGACUGAGAAUCUCACGGCUUUCACACAGAGACACAUCUCAACUUUGACCUUUAAAUCUUCAGCUGAGCAACACAACACCACUGUUACCUGUAAAAUCCGCUUCACAGGUGAAACAACUACAGAAGAGGCUUCAACUUUGAAAGUAAACUAUGUGAAGGAAGUUAACAUCACUGGGGUGACAAGUGUGAGGGAGGGAAAUGUUCUGAAUCUGACCUGCAGUGUUGAAAGUUUCCCUCCAGCUCAUAUUGUAUGGAAAAAAAAGUUCCUUCCAACACAAACCUUCAGACCAGAAACACUGACCUGCACAAUGAUACAGUUACACUCGUCACCCUGAAUGUGACAGCAGAAAAUUCUGGGCAGUACAUCUGUAUGGCAAAACAUCUGGACAAAACACUGACUUCAUAUGUCAAUGUGACUCUGACAUGGCAUACAAAGAUACAGAAUGGCUCUGGAUGUGUGCUUCAGUCUGAGGGUUUGACCUGCAUGUGCAUCAGUGAAGGAUUUCCUUUACCUACCAUCAAAUGGCCGCUCCUAGAAAACCACACUCAGUACACUCUCAUUACUACUGUGUCAAACCACACAGUCAACAGCACUGUCAGUCUCACUGUAAAAAACCAUGGCAACAGCACUGUUGAAUGUGUAAGCAACAAUGGAAAUGGAGAAGAAAGAGAGAUCCUGCUGGUCCAAGAAAACUUGUCUGAAAAACAUGCAGCUCGUGUGAAACAUUGUGGUUCUUACAGUACAGUUCUUCCCUGGAUUGUUGCUGGUGUAUCUCUCACUUUGAAUGCCUUCUGCAUAACCUACAUAUGGUUCCUUUGGAAUUCAAGAAAAAAGUCGAACCUACAUCAGGAGGACAGAACCUACAUGUCACUGCAAAAAGCGGAUGUGUCACCAGAUUAUGAUGUUAUUGCACAACGUAUAAACUGAAAAGUCAGGUUUCAGAUAGAUGUGUGAUUGUAAUGGCAGCCUGUUGUCAAUACUUUGGUGAUGUAAUUAAUUUGUUUCAUUGUCUUGAUUAAAGCAGAUACUCGUAUAUUUACCCCCUGCAGAUACUCUGGUAUUACAAAUUUUAAUUUAAAUUAUUCAAUUAAAACUUACUAUUUGUUAAUUAUUUUUUACAUUGAAUUGUAAACAAUGAGAUUAUUUUAAAUGUAAUAUAUCACACUUUCUAUUUCAAUUUAUACAUAGAGUUUAAUAAAAUUGUUCACCUGUCUA